rnacentral:misc_RNA from 1 species
CUGUUUGAGUGUCAUGAACUCUCUCUAAUCAGGAUUUCUGAUUAGAGGAUUUGGGUGUUGCCUUCCGGCUCGCCUUAAAUGCAUUAGCGUGGUGUAUCAGUUUCGCCAGCAGCUACAAUGUUGUUCUCUUACGACACGGGAAAGGGAAACCGAGUACCAUCUCAGACCUCAAAUCAGGUAGGACUACCCGCUGAACUUAA